rnacentral:lncRNA from 1 species
GUUUAAAUAAUACAUGGAACGGGCCUCAAAACAAUUGGGCCGAAAAAUAUAAAGUUGUGCUGAAUUAAAUUCGUCUGGAACAUAAACGCAAUUAUUUGACACACUUGCGCUCCGAACUGGGUUUUGGCCUCAACAUGAAAGUCGUAGCUCUUGAUCUCAGCUUUCCAACGCAUCUUCCCGCGCCACAAUCCGAUAUUUGUAACUCCAGUUAUGACCUACGGACCGGAAGGGUGUCAAAGUGCUAUUUAUUCAUAAAUUAAGUGCGAAAAUAAAAUAGAGUUAGAAAUAAACUUAAAUAUAAAAACACCUUAAAAUAGUGAAAAUAGUAAAUUAAACCAUAGGAAUACACUAGUACAAUAGUAGAAGAAUGUGCAUUAAAAUGCACUGAUCA